CCAGGGAGAGAGAGAGAGAGAGAGAGAGAGAUAUCUCUCUCUCUCUCUCUCUCUCUCUCUCUCUCUUUCUCUCAUA
rnacentral:miRNA from 1 species